AGGAAGCCAUCGCCAGGAAGUCGUCACUGCAGCAGUUUGCCUGUGGUGCCCGCGACGGAGGGGAGGGCGAGCUCUCCUUCGCGCUGACGAAGCCAAUGGAGAUCGUGGAGGCACUGCACAGCCACGACAUCGCACCCGUCUCUAGUCUCUGCGCCAAGUACAUUGUCAACCUACUACCCGGCUCCGUCGCCAAGGUCCUCGCCCUCUUCCUCUCAAACGUCGUCAGCGUUUGGUUGAAGCUAAGUUGCAAGUGGUGCAGCUAGAUGCAAAUCUGCUAAGUAUAAGGCGAGCUCUGUUGGAGCAAGGAAUAGAAGCAGUACUCAGGGAGCUUUGUAUAUGCACUAGAGGACGGAGCCAGUGAUCAUCGACCCUGUACUAUACAACCUAUUAAAGUUUGACGUGUUCUGGAUAAUAGAGAAAAGUAGUGUCCUUUCAGGCUCUUCACUUGUAACUAUCAGCCACAUUAGGCGCUACUUCAUGAUUAUUGUUUUUCAGUAUGGUUAUUGUUUUUUCAAUUUGUUGUUUUGGGUUUUUUUGGGUGGGAGACAAGUGGAUUCAUGUC